CCGUUUCAUUUAUCUGUUCUCAUUAAUCAAAACCACAUCAUUUUGUCACAUGGUCCAAAGCGGUGAACGAUAAAAUUUGCGAGUUGCAAGCAUAAGCAUAACUUACCUGUAAUAAAUUGUAAAAUCCGUCAACCCGGGCGUUUAAUUCGUAACUUCUCUUACCCUCUCUCCCUCGAUUCAAUUCAAAAUCUUUUUACUUCCAAAAAGGUUUUUCCAAUCCUCUUUCUACUCUGUAUCUCGAUCAUUGUGCUUCAAUUCCUCACCAACUUUCUCGUUUAAUCAUAUCACACACGCGAUUGGAAACUCGAUGUUUGUUUGUGCAGCGGUUGGGAUGAUUACGUUUUUGUCGGGCAAAGAUGGUAAUACACGACGAAUUGGUUGAGAAAGGUGAGGGGGAGGUUUCGCAGGCGAAAAGCAUGUGCCGGCGGCGGCGGAGGCGGUUGCUUAAAGGUGCCGCGGACUCGGGAUUCUGGAGGUGAGUCACAGACAAGUGAUCCUAAUAGCCCUAAUUUCAGUAGUGAGAUGCUAAGAAUCUUGAUUGAGAAGAAUGACUUUUAUUCCAAAGAAUCCAAUCCUCAUUUGGAUAAUAAAUAUGCGGCGCCUUCUUGCCCUCAUCGCAUAUCAGAAUGAAUUAGAGGAAGUGCAAUCCAAGUUGUGGAAAUGUUAUGAAAUUAAAAUCUUCUCUGAUCAUGCAUAUACAUACAUACAUACAUACAUGUUGUAAUGGUGAGAUUGGGGCUCUCAUUUUUUUUAGUAGAGAUAGUGACCAAAUUCCCAUUAUCUUAGAGUGAUUCAAUGGUGAAAGAGGCUAGAGAUUACAUAUAAUAGUGUGAUGCUGCAAAUACUUUUUUUUUUUUUUUGAAAGAAAGAAGUUAUGCUGCAAAUACUUAGAAGCCUACUUUCAUGUUUUCAAAUGUGAAGUUAGAGGAUGAUAGCACAAAAUGUUUGUGAAUGGCAAUUGCCAAUCUUUGGUUUGUAAAUUCUCUUCAAUAUCUGGAUGAGUGGCAAGAAAUGUUGUUGAAAUUGCAAAUGCCCCACGCAAAUGAUAUCAGAUGGGCUGCAACAAAUAUUUUCAGACUCCACUUCCCCUGGACAGGCUUACUUGACCACCCAAUUGGAUGAAUCAUGAAUCAUGAAUGUGAACAGUUUUGCAGGGUCAAGCUAAGUCCGUUAUUUUUCCUCCCAAAAGGUCGGAUCUCAACCCCAAGGCCCUCCAUGUCCCGGCCCGACAAAGGCAAGCUAAUUCCAUUAUUAAUAUGCUCAUGGGAUGAGUCUAAAUAGGUUUAUAAACCUUACUGAAUGAGACUCAAUAAAGAAAAAAAAAAAGUUUUUGACAUUCAGUGUAGCUUUAAAAAAAGUUUUUGAGAUUCAGUGUAGUUUAUGUAAAGAAUAAAGAAUUGAUGGCACAAAAAUUUUGACAAGUGAUAGAAAUAUAUUAUAUACCUCA